rnacentral:rRNA from 1 species
UAGAGUUUGAUCCUGGCUCAGAGCGAACGCUGGCGGUAUGCUUAACACAUGCAAGUCGAGCGAGAAAGUGGCUUCGGCCACGAGUACAGCGGCGGACGGGUGCGUAACACGUGGAUAAUCUGCCUUCAGGUCUGGGAUAACCCUGGGAAACUAGAGCUAAUACCGGAUAAGACCACAGGUUCCAUGGAACCAAGGGUAAAAGGCGGCCUUCGGGCUGUCUCCUGAAGAUGAAUCCGCGUCCCAUC